CCUACGGGAGGCAGCAGUAGGGAAUCUUCCGCAAUGGACGAAAGUCUGACGGAGCAACGCCGCGUGAGUGAUGAAGGUUUUCGGAUCGUAAAGCUCUGUUGUUAGGGAAGAACAAGUGCAAGAGUAACUGCUUGCACCUUGACGGUACCUAACCAGAAAGCCACGGCUAACUACGUGCCAGCAGCCGCGGUAAUACGUAGGUGGCAAGCGUUGUCCGGAAUUAUUGGGCGUAAAGGGCUCGCAGGCGGUUUCUUAAGUCUGAUGUGAAAGCCCCCGGCUCAACCGGGGAGGGUCAUUGGAAACUGGGAAACUUGAGUGCAGAAGAGGAGAGUGGAAUUCCACGUGUAGCGGUGAAAUGCGUAGAGAUGUGGAGGAACACCAGUGGCGAAGGCGACUCUCUGGUCUGUAACUGACGCUGAGGAGCGAAAGCGUGGGGAGCGAACAGGAUUAGAUACCCUGGUAGUCCACGCCGUAAACGAUGAGUGCUAAGUGUUAGGGGGUUUCCGCUCCCUUAGUGCUGACAGCUAACGCAUUAAGCACUCCGCCUGGGGAGUACGGUCGCAAGACUGAAACUCAAAGGAAUUGACGGGGGCCCGCACAAGCGGUGGAGCAUGUGGUUUAAUUCGAAGCAACGCGAAGAACCUUAC
rnacentral:rRNA from 1 species